CAUUCACGGAGAGUUUGAUCCUGGCUCAGGACGAACGCUGGCGGCGUGCUUAACACAUGCAAGUCGAACGAUGAAGCCCUUCGGGGUGGAUUAGUGGCGAACGGGUGAGUAACACGUGGGCAAUCUGCCCUUCACUCUGGGACAAGCCCUGGAAACGGGGUCUAAUACCGGAUAAUACUUUCUCCCUCCUGGGAGAAGGUUGAAAGCUCCGGCGGUGAAGGAUGAGCCCGCGGCCUAUCAGCUAGUUGGUGGGGUAAUGGCCUACCAAGGCGACGACGGGUAGCCGGCCUGAGAGGGCGACCGGCCACACUGGGACUGAGACACGGCCCAGACUCCUACGGGAGGCAGCAGUGGGGAAUAUUGCACAAUGGGCGAAAGCCUGAUGCAGCGACGCCGCGUGAGGGAUGACGGCCUUCGGGUUGUAAACCUCUUUCAGCAGGGAAGAAGCGAAAGUGACGGUACCUGCAGAAGAAGCGCCGGCUAACUACGUGCCAGCAGC
rnacentral:rRNA from 1 species